UACGGGGGGAGCAAGCGUUGUUCGGAUUUACUGGGCGUAAAGGGCGCGUAGGCGGCCAGCGCAAGUCAGUUGUGAAAUCUCCGGGCUUAACUCGGAACGGUCAACUGAUACUGCGCGGCUAGAGUGCAGAAGGGGCAACUGGAAUUCUCGGUGUAGCGGUGAAAUGCGUAGAUAUCGAGAGGAACACCUGCGGCGAAGGCGGGUUGCUGGGCCGACACUGACGCUGAGGAGCGAAAGCGUGGGGAGCGAACAGG
rnacentral:rRNA from 1 species